GAGGCGUUCCUGUGCCGUCGGAGGAUGGAUGGAAAGGCUGCUGAACUUUGGUUCGAAUUAUCCUACGAAAUGACAGUUAAAAGUACACGAUGAGUCGAAGUUGCAGUUGGUUGGCUGGAUCACUUUACGGAAAUGUCUUGUGUGGGUCGGCCCAUGAUCUCUCUUCAGCUCAUUAAAAUGUAAUGCUGCUGGCCAGCUCUAUGGAACAGUGCCUCCUAACCAAAGUUCAUUACUCCUGCUUGCAGGUUCCUUUGAUGCAUUCGGGUGUACGGGGGAAUGGGCAGCCCAUUGAAGCAUGGCAGACCACCUGAGAGUUGUUUUCUGGACUCUGGGAGGUCACCUGACACCAGUACUCUGGAGAAGGUGCACCGCACUGGAUUUCACAUGAAAAGAUCUUACAGCUUUGAAUGACAUGAGAGUGAAAUUCAAUAUGUGCAAACCAUUUUAGCCAUCUUAGGAGUGAGGAGACGAAUCAUUUCUGUUCUGAAUGGAUGAUUCAGAGCCAGAGGUGAAUCAUACAGGGGUUUGUUUGUAUCUGUGCCUCUGAUCCCCCUCUGAUAGUCCCUACACCGCACAACAUCUGUCACACCGCGUGCCACAAUCGCUCAAAUAGAGCUUUAGGUGAUGCUGGUGUAUGGUUAUUCCUGCCACACGGUCCACAUGGGCAUCCCCAACGCCAGCGCUCAUUAGCAGGCAGGUGGCGUUAGAGAUUCGACUGGGGCCGAGACGAGGAAUGGAACCUGGCAAACCGGGUUGUACGUCCGCAUCGGGUAAUCCCCGCCAGAUUGCCAGGAUAUCAGAAGUGACAUCACAAAGCCAACAAAAAUUAGCAUCCCUAAUGGUCUGCCAGGCCAAACAUUAUUCUUCAUGAUGAGAAGCAGUCAUGCCUGCCCAGGGCUCCUGAUGAUUUGGCCAAAAGCAGUGGAGGCCCCUAAGCUCUCAGCUCCAGCCAAAACCAACAGGCUCUAUUCUCCAACCCAUGAAGACCGGUUCUACUCUACUGCAAAUGAAGUUCCUGAGGAAAAUCCUUGGUAUAUUCCCAUCAUACUGCUGAUGCCUUCAUAUUCUAGAAGAUUACCUAAAUGGAAAGGAAGAGGCUCUCAUCUGGCGCUUGAUAACCAGUGAAAAACACCUUGACCAAAUUUAGAAGCUAAAACCAAGAAAGAUCAAUGAGAGGAGAGGGGGAGAGUGGCAGAUUUAAUUAAUUACUGCAUAUUAGAAUGUUUGUUUACAAAAUUGAACAGUUACAAGGGGCCUGAUGGUAAUUAAUUUAAAACGUACUUCCCCCUGUCCCUGCCUCGCGUCGGCACUAGACGUGGUUGUUUCAUGGCAGGUAAGCCUACGUCUCAUUGGAUUUCCAUCAAUUGCUCAAAGGUGUGUUUGAAAACAAAGAUGCAUGGUACGCAAAUUAGCCUGAAUGUUAACAUGAUUGCAUAUUAAGAAAUCUAAUUAGUAUUCAAGGGAAUCAAAAGGGAAGAGCUGCAUGAUGUUGUGAUAAUGCAUAUCUAAGAGGAACGUUUCACCAUUUUCCACCUAAACCGUGUUUGCUUUUUCAUUCUCUAUUGUAUUUAAAUGUAACUUUACAUUUUAAACAGAUCUGUAAAUUGUCUCUGUGAAGAUGACUUUAUUUCUCCAACAAUGUCACAGUGGUUGCAUUUCUGUGUUUUCAGCUGUGGUCAGGAAGGUCUCUCGUGGUCCCCCUCCAGGACAAUGAUGUAUUUAAGUCCCCUAAGAGGUCAGAUGGACUCUGUCUAGAACAUCACCUGCAAUCAAUAGUGUUGGUAAACCAGGCUCAACCGAGUGGCCAUGAAGACUCCCCUUAUAAACACGCUCACAGAGAGGCCGGCAUGGCCCAUUGCUUUGCUAAAACCGCAACCAACAUCCUGACACACACACACACACACACACACACACACACAACACAUGCCACCACUCUGAAAACAAGUGUUGAUGACAAAGAGAAGAAAAAUAACAGCACCUCAGCGGUAAGUGGAGAGCCUCCAGGUGAUGAAAUCCUCUCUGAAGUGACACAAAAUUGAGGCAAAUUGACAGCCAUGUGAAUGUGUUUAUAAAUGCUAGUGGGUGGCACUGCUGUGGAGCAAUGAGUCCACUGGAGUGAUAGCUGGGAUUUUAUUUUAUUUUAUUUUAUUUUAACAAAAUAACUGAAUAUUGAGAUUUAACCAACAAAAUCAACAAAAAUCUAAUUUUAAAAAACAUUUUAGUUUCAUGAAAUAAAUUUACGAAAUAAAAAUAGUAAAAUAAUUAAAUUCAUGAAAUAAAUUUUAUUUUAGUUAAUGUUUAUUUUAUUGCAAUUAGCUGCAACAAGGGCCAAGGCAUUAUUUAUUUUCUCUUUUUUUUUAGUUUAACUUGAGUUACUAAAACUAAAAAGAAAUUAAUAUUACAAAAUUACAAAAAUAUUAACUAAAAUGAAAAUAUAAAAAGCUAAUUCAAAAUAUUAAUUAUUAUUAUGAAUUAUUAUUAAAACUAUAAUGGUAUAGCAAUAAUAGUAAAAUAACACUGAUUCAAAUUCAUUAUUCUUAUUUCACUAAAACUGCAUAAAUGUAUACUAGCAUUAUUCCUGUAAAUCAUUAUUCUUGCUAUUUUGCUUAAAAAAAUACAUAGAUGUAUAUUAGUAUAAUUUCUGUCAGUCUGAUAAAUUAGAAAAAUAUCAAUAAACAAUUAGUUGCAUUGUUAAACAGUUGAAAAAGAACAGUGUUUUAAUAGUUUUUACAUUUUCUAUUACUGGUUAUUUUUAUAAAUAUCAAUUUUGCCUGAUUAUGAUUUCAGCUUUUUGCAUUUUUAUUUCCCAGCCAUACUCUUUGCAUUCAGCAUCACUCUGUCAUAGCAAAGGUUGCACAUUCUCCUUAAUGCGCAGGUGAAUUGGGUGCACUGCUUCAAUCAAGGCUUCACUAUUGGGUUUGAGAAUCAUCUGAGCCCAGACAACAAAAGCAAACGCUACAGUGAGUGUCUCUACUGUAAGUGGCUUUUGAAGAAUUGGCACAGUCAUCUGGCGAACACCUCACAUCUCUCACAAACAAAUGAAGGCCUGGCGCUUCAAAGUGAGAUUGAUAUCUCUCUCUGAACUUCAACCAGAAUAUUCUGAAUAUUGAGAGAGGUGCACUCCUCCCACGGGACCGCCGAGGCGCUUCUCUCCUCCCUCGUUCUGCCAAAGAGGGGGAAGAAGAUUGCCCCGUAGAUCUUCCAUGUUCAUCAAUAUUCACUCAUUCAUCGUGAGCCGUGGCAGCUGAAAUUUGGCCUACUAUUGCUGAAUGGAUGACCCAGGGAUCCACUUUGUUGCCAUGAGGUUGUCUGCAAUUGAGAUUUAGGGUUAAAACAGAACAAUACACAAUUUUUAUGAACUUCAGACUCAUCUAUAUAUUUUACGUUGUGACAGAAAACUUUUCAAUUUGCUCUGCAAGUUCUUAAGAUUACCCAUCCAUUUAAUAAGCCUAGAAUAAAUGUAUCCACCUUGUUCUGCUUUCUAACUGUUUGCCAAAUAUUAAAUUGUUUUUGCCUUUCUGUUUUUACUUGGAAAUAUCUUUCAAAUAAAAUAAAGGAAACUAC